rnacentral:rRNA from 1 species
ACCGGAUAGGACGAAAGUUUAAAGGUGCUUCGGCACCACUGAUGGAUGAGCCUGCGGCGCAUUAGCUAGUUGGUAGGGUAAAGGCCUACCAAGGCGACUAUGCGUAGCCGACCUGAGAGGGUGAACGGCCACACUGGGACUGAGACACGGCCCAGACUCCUACGGGAGGCAGCAGUAUGGAAUCUUCGGCAAUGGGCGAAAGCCUGACCGAGCAACGCCGCGUGAAUGAUGAAGGCCUUCGGGUUGUAAAAUUCUGUUAUAAGGGAAGAAUGUCUUUAGUAGGAAAUGGCUAGAGUGUGACGGUACCUUAUGAGAAAGCCACGGCUAACUACGUGCCAGCAGCCGCGGUAAUAAGUAGGUGGCGAGCGUUAUCCGGAAUUAUUGGGCGUAAAGAGCUGCGCAGGUGGUUGAUUAAGUCUGAUGUGAAAGCCCACGGCUUUACCGUGGAGGGUCAUUGGAAACUGGUCAACUUGAUUGCAGAAGAGGUAAGUGGAAUUCCAUGUGUAGCGGUGAAAUGAGUAGAGAUAUGGAGGAACACCAGUGGAGAAGGCGGCUUCCUGGUCUGUAACUGACAAUGAGGCGAGAAAGCGUGGGGAGCAAACAGGAUUAGAUACCCUGGUACUCCACGCCGUAAAGGAUGAGUGGUAAGUGUUGGGGGUCGACCCUCAGUGCUGAAGUUAAGGCAUUAAGCAUUCCGCUUGGGGAGUAGGGUGGCAAGACUGAAAUUCAAAGGAAUUGAGGGGGGCCGGCCCAAGCAGCGGAGCAUGUGGCUUAAUUGGAAGCAACGGGAAGACCCUUACCAGGGCUUGACUUAUGGGUGAAGCGGGGGAGAUCCCUGUGGCCGAGAGGAGCCCAUGCAGGUGGUGCAUGGGUGUCGUCAUCUUGUGUUGUGAGAUGUUGGGUUAAGUCCC